rnacentral:rRNA from 1 species
CUGGGCAUACCACCCUGAACACGCCCGAUCGCCUCUGAUCUUGGAAGCUAAGCAGGGUCGGGCCUGGUUAGUGCUUGGAUGGGAGACCACUCCACCCUCAAGUCUCAGC